AUGGUCAAGUGCAGGUGUUUUUCCUCAUCAUAUCCCUAGAUCCCUCUUGUAGGCCUUUGGUGAGGAGGAAGAAUAUUUUGCACCUUCAACAAAACAUCAACCCAAAAUAUUGCAUGCUACAGCUAAUGCCAAGAAUGCCCCAAGGGUGAUUAUAAGGGUGAUGAUAUUGAUCCCUUAUUCCAGGAAUCCCUGAGAAAUUAAGCAUGAUGGUGCCUUCAUGAAUAUCUGCUGUUUGGGAAGCAGAGGGUGAGUAGGAGAGGAUUUGACUUUAGAAGAGUAUUUCUAGACUGGACCGGAUGAAUUUCCAAAUUAACAAGGCAUGCAUUUAAAUACAUCAAGGCCCAAACAAACACUGGGAAACUGAAAAGGUGAAA